ensembl:misc_RNA Metazoa_SRP Metazoan signal recognition particle RNA
GCCGGGCGUGGUGGCACGUGCCUGCAGUCCCAGCUACUCCGGAGGCUGAGGUGGGAGGAUCCCUUAAGCCCAGGACUUCUGGGUUGUAGUGCGCUAUGCCGAUCUGGUGUCAGCACUAAGUUUGGCAUCAAUAUGGUGACCUCCCGGGAGCGGGGAACCACCAAGUUGCCUCAGGAGGGGUGAACCGGCCCAGUGGCAAACGGAGAAGGCCAAAACUCCUGUGCUGAUCAGUAAUGGGAUCACGCCUGUGAAUAACCACUGCACUUCAGCCUGGGCAAGAUAGCGAGACCCCGUCUCUG